GACGAACGCUGGCGGCGUGCUUAACACAUGCAAGUCGAACGAAGAGCGAUGGAAGCUUGCUUCUAUCAAUCUUAGUGGCGAACGGGCGAGUAACGCGUAAUCAACCUGCCCUUCAGAGGGGGACAACAGUUGGAAACGACUGCUAAUACCGCAUACGAUCUAACCUCGGCAUCGAGGAAAGAUGAAAGGUGGCCUCUAUGUAUAAGCUAUCACUGAAGGAGGGGAUUGCGUCUGAUUAGCUAGUUGGAGGGGUAACGGCCCACCAAGGCGAUGAUCAGUAGCCGGUCUGAGAGGAUGAACGGCCACAUUGGGACUGAGACACGGCCCAGACUCCUACGGGAGGCAGCAGUGGGGAAUCUUCCGCAAUGGACGAAAGUCUGACGGAGCAACGCCGCGUGAGUGAUGACGGCCUUCGGGUUGUAAAGCUCUGUUAAUCGGGACGAAAGGCCUUCUUGCGAAUAGUGAGAAGGAUUGACGGUACCGGAAGAGAAAGCCACGGCUAACUACGUG
rnacentral:rRNA from 1 species